UGCCUGUUGCCAGGACAUAAGUUGU
rnacentral:piRNA from 1 species